rnacentral:misc_RNA from 1 species
AACCUAGCACACCUGCGGUGUGUACCUGCGGAAGGAUCAUUACUGAGUGAGGGCCUUCGGGCUCGACCUCCAACCCUUUGUGAACACAACUUGUUGCUUCGGGGGCGACCCUGCCGUUUCGACGGCGAGCGCCCCCGGAGGCCUUCAAACACUGCAUCUUUGCGUCGGAGUUUAAGUAAAUUAAACAAAACUUUUAGCAACGGAUCU